GAUGAACGCUAGCUACAGGCUUAACACAUGCAAGUCGAGGGGAAACGGCAUUGAGUGCUUGCACUCUUUGGACGUCGACCGGCGCACGGGUGAGUAACGCGUAUCCAACCUUCCCAUUACUGUGGGAUAACCUGCCGAAAGGCAGACUAAUACCGCAUAGUCUUCGAUGACGGCAUCAGAUUUGAAGUAAAGAUUUAUCGGUAAUGGAUGGGGAUGCGUCUGAUUAGCUUGUUGGCGGGGUAACGGCCCACCAAGGCGACGAUCAGUAGGGGUUCUGAGAGGAAGGUCCCCCACAUUGGAACUGAGACACGGCCCAAACUCCUACGGGAGGCAGCAGUAGGGAAUCUUCCACAAUGGACGCAGGUCUGAUGGAGCAACGCCGCGUGAGUGAAGAAGGGUUUCGGCUCGUAAAGCUCUGUUGGUAGUGAAGAAAGAUAGAGGUAGUAACUGGCCUUUAUUUGACGGUAAUUACUUAGAAAGUCACGGCUAACUACGUGCCAGCAGCCGCGGUAAUACGUAGGUGGCAAGCGUUGUCCGGAUUUAUUGGGCGUAAAGCGAGUGCAGGCGGUUCAAUAAGUCUGAUGUGAAAGCCUUCGGCUCAACCGGAGAAUUGCAUCAGAAACUGUUGAACUUGAGUGCAGAAGAGGAGAGCGGAACUCCAUGUGUAGCGGUGGAAUGCGUAGAUAUAUGGAAGAACACCAGUGGCGAAGGCGGCUCUCUGGUCUGCAACUGACGCUGAGGCUCGAAAGCAUGGGUAGCGAACAGG
rnacentral:rRNA from 1 species